rnacentral:rRNA from 1 species
UGACGUUCAGAUUCGAAAGCGUGGGUAGCCAACCGGGAUAGAUUCCCUUGUAAUUCCCCCCCGUAACGCUGUUUACUUGGAGGGUGAAGUUUUAGACUUUGGCUUUCGGCGCUAACGCAUUAAGUAGACCGCCUGGGGAGUACGGCCGCAAGGUUAAAACUCAAAUGAAUUGACGGGGGCCCGCACAAGCGGUGGAGCAUGUGGUUUAAUUCGAUGCAACGCGAAGAACCUUACCUACUCUUGACAUCCAGAGAAUCCUCCAGAGAUAGAGGAGUGCCUUCGGGAGCUCUGAGACAGGUGCUGCAUGGCUGUCGUCAGCUCGUGUUGUGAAAUGUUGGGUUAAGUCCCGCAACGAGCGCAACCCUUAUCCUUGUUUGCCAGCAUGUAAUGGUGGGAACUCCAGGGAGACUGCCGGUGAUAAACCGGAGGAAGGUGGGGACGACGUCAAGUCAUCAUGGCCCUUACGAGUAGGGCUACACACGUGGUACAAUGGCAGAUACAGAGGGCAGCGAAGCUGCGAAGUGGAGCGAAUCCCUUAAAUUCUGUCGUAGUCCGGAUUGGAGUCUGCAACUGGACUCCAUGAAGUCGGAAUCGCUAGUAAUCGUGGAUCAGAAUGCCCCUAGAUCUAGAGUUUGAUCCUGGCUCAGACACUAUAUGAAUAAGUAAAAUAUUGAUACUCAAGGAGUAGAAGCAUGCUGAUUUUAACUCUCCGGGUGAGGCGAAACCUUGAUGAUUGGUGGUGAAGUCCUAACAAGGUAACCGACUGCCCUGACGCGGGGGAUAACCGUUGGAAACGACGGCUAAUACCGCAUAAUGUCUUAGUUCAUUACGAACUGGUACCAAGGGUGCCCUCUCCUUGUAACCUUUCCCUUUGGAAUGGCCCCAUUUAGAAUAACCUAGUUGGUAGGGUAAGGUAUUACCAAGGAAACAAUCCUUACCUGGUUUAAAAGAAUAACCACCCCCACUGGGACUGAAAUACGGCCCAAACCCCUACGGAAGGCAGCAUGGGGAAAUAUUGCCCAUUGGGGAAAACCCUGAUGCACCCAUGCCCCGUGGGUAAAAAAGGCCUCCGGUUUGUAAAGCACUUUCAGCAUUGGGAAAGGUGGGGUCCUUAAAAAGGGCAUGGAUGGACUUUACCGGCCAAAAAACCACCGGCUAUCUCCUUGCCACCACCCGCGUAAAUACGAAGGGUGCAAGCUUUAUUCGGACUUACUGGUCGCAAAUCCCAUGCUGGCAGUUGGUAAGAUCUAAGGUAAAAUCCCGGGAUCCACCCUCGAACCACCAUUUGAAACUGGCAGGCUAGAACCUAGUAAAGGGGGUAGAAUUUCCCGGUGUACCGGCCAAUAGCGUAAAUACCAAAGUAAAUCCUACGGACGAUGGCGCCCCCCUGGACUUUGCUUGAUGUUCAAAUCCAAAUGCUUGAGCUCCAUCUGAAUUAGAUCCCCUGGACGUCCACCCGGU